rnacentral:rRNA from 1 species
GACGAACGCUGGCGGCGUGCUUAACACAUGCAAGUCGAACGGAAAGGCCCUGCUUGCAGGGUACUCGAGUGGCGAACGGGUGGGUAACACGUGGGUGAUCUGCCCUGCACUUCGGGAUAAGCCUGGGAAACUGGGUCUAAUACCGGAUAGGAGCCAUUUUUAGUGUGAUGGUUGGAAAGUUUUUUCGGUGUAGGAUGAGCUCGCGGCCUAUCAGCUUGUUGGUGGGGUAAUGGCCUACCAAGGCGGCGACGGGUAGCCGGCCUGAGAGGGUGGACGGCCACAUUGGGACUGAGAUACGGCCCAGACUCCUACGGGAGGCAGCAGGGGGGAAUAUUGCACAAUGGGCGCAAGCCUGAUGCAGCGACGCCGCGUGGGGGAUGACGGCCUUCGGGUUGUAAACUCCUUUCGCUAGGGACGAAGCUUUUUGUGACGGUACCUAGAUAAGAAGCACCGGCUAACUACGUG